rnacentral:tRNA from 1 species
GCCCUCGUGGUGUAAUGGUAGCACACUCGGCGCAUAUUUGAGAGGUCUAGGGUUCAAGUCCUGGCGAGUGCU